AACCCAUGGUAAGGGCACCUUAUCAAAAGGUCCUUGUAUCUCUCCCAUGCAUCGUAGAGUGUUUCUAAAUCCAUCUGCAAAAAGGAAGUGAUAUCAUUACGUAAUUU
rnacentral:snoRNA from 1 species